CUGUAUUAGAGGUAAAAAAAAAUUAUAUAAAUACUGUUCGGCUUCUCGCACAAACCGAUCGUUUCGUUUCUUAGGAUAUCAAUGUGUCGUCACGAGCGGCAGGGUUUAAUUUGGAUUUGUCUGUGCAUGUUUUUACUGUCUGAGAUUUUGUUACUAUUCACAUGCAUACAGACUGAAACGGUUGGAGUUUCUACAUUUGUGUUGUACUGAAGAAACAAAAUCACAUACAUCUUGGAUGGCCUCGGGUAUGAAGCCGAUUUCAACGGUAACUGCAGAAAGCGUCAGCACGCUCAGCUCAUCACUGGAGUAACGUCUGUACAACGGGUGAGAUAAAACUCAACGCCUGACUGAAUCAUCCAUUCCCUUUUCGAUCCUACACCAUACGUUAAACUUGAGGUAAUCUUGCUUUUGCUGUUCUAAAAUAAACACUGCUCUUAGGUAAGAAUGGCUGAUCAAAUGCAUUAUUUUAAAUCUAAUCUGAGACACAAAGCAGUUAAAUCGUUGUCUAAUUUGCUGCAAGGUAUUAAGAACGACAGUAAGCUUGUUGACGAUGAUCUGACUGAUGACUGAUAUGUGUGAUGAGAUUAAAACUAUGGCUGUGCAAAAAAAUCGAUACAGCUAACUACCAUGAUAGUUAGCUGUAUCGAUAGUGUAUCGAUAUUUCGAUCUCUACUGUCGAUAUUUUAAAAAACAUCAAAUCCCUCUGUGUGCGUCAAACGACCUCCUCGCCGCUGCUAUAGUUGUCACUGUCCAGUUGUCUGCCAUAUACGGCCAUUCGGCCAAUGUCUCAGAAGUUAGAGGGAGUGAGAAAAUGGCAGAAAAUUUAAAAACACCUGCAUCUUUCAAAGAGCUGCAGGUGUUCAGCUCUAUUUUUUACAUUUUUGAUUGUAUUGUGAUACGUAUCUUAUCAUGACCCAUGUAUCGUGACACGUAUCGUAUCGGGAGGCCCUUGCCAAUACCCAGCCCUAAUUAAAACAACUUUUCUUUUAGCACACCACCCAUACAUGGCACACAAAACAGGUCUUGUGAGGGGGCUGUGCCCACAGGUAGAAAUUCUGUAGGUCCACGGGCUUCUCCCCUUUCAGCGAACAUCACAGCGCUUAGUCCACCAUCGUGGUCUCCAAUCUCCAUUACCAACAGCCUGAGUGCUACACCUACAGACACCCCAACCCAUGCAGCAGCUGGCAGAAGUCAGACAUCAGGCCAAACUGGAUUUCAACACACCCCACCCUUACAUGGCACACAAGUAUAUGACACACAACACAGCUCAGGAGGCUGUGCCUACAG